GAUGAACGCUAGCGGGAGGCUUAACACAUGCAAGUCGAGGGGCAGCAUAGGGUAGCAAUACUCUGAUGGCGACCGGCAAACGGGUGAGUAACGCGUAUGCAACCUACCCUGUACAGGGGGAUAACCCGGAGAAAUUCGGACUAAUAUCCCGUAAUAAUAUCCGGAGGCAUCUUUGGAUAUUUAAAGUUCCGACGGUACGGGAUGGGCAUGCGUAACAUUUAACUGGUUGGUAAGGUAACGGCUUACCAAGGCUAUGAUGUUUAGGGGUCCUGAGAGGGUGGUCCCCCACACUGGUACUGAGACACGGACCAGACUCCUACGGGAGGCAGCAGUGAGGAAUAUUGGUCAAAUGGGCGCAAGCCUGAACCAGCCAUCCCGCGUGCAGGAAGACGGCCCUAUGGGUUGUAAACUGCUUUUCCAGGGAGAGAAACUUACGCACGUGUUGCGUGACUGACGGUACCCUGGGAAUAAGCAUCGGCUAACUCCGUA
rnacentral:rRNA from 1 species